rnacentral:rRNA from 1 species
GAAAGCGUGGGGAGCGAACAGGAUUAGAUACCCUGGUAGUCCACGCCGUAAACGGUGGGCGCUAGUUGUGGGAACCUUCCACGGUUUCUGCGACGCAGCUAACGCAUUAAGCGCCCCGCCUGGGGAGUACGAUCGCAAGAUUAAAACUCAAAGGAAUUGACGGGGCCCCGCACAAGCAGCGGAGCAUGCGGCUUAAUUCGACGCAACGCGAAGAACCUUACCAAGGCUUGACAUAUACAGGAAUAUGGCAGAGAUGUCAUAGCGGUAAAACGUCUGUAUACAGGUGGUGCAUGGUUGUCGUCAGCUCGUGUCGUGAGAUGUUGGGUUAAGUCCCGCAACGAGCGCAGCCCUCGUUCUGUGUUGCCAGCAUUUAGUUGGGGACUCACAGGAGACUGCCGGGGUUAACUCGGAGGAAGGUGGGGAUGACGUCAAAUCAUCAUGCCCCUUAUGUCUUGGGCUGCACGCAUGCUACAAUGGCUGGUACAAAGGGCUGCAAUACUGCAAAGUGGAGCGAAUCCCAAAAAGCCAGUCUCAGUUCGGAUUGGGGUCUGCAACUCGACCCCAUGAAGUCGGAGUUGCUAGUAAUCGUAGAUCAGCAACGCUACGGUGAAUACGUUCCCGGGGCUUGUACACACCGCCCGUCACAUCACGAAAGUCGGUAACACCCAAAGUCAGUGGCCCAACCGCAAGGAGGGAGCUGCCAAAGGUGGGAUCGGUGAUUGGGAUGAAGUCGUAAC